GCCUCGAUAGUUUAACGGUAGAACAACUGCCUCCAAAACAGUGGGUGUGGGUUCGACUCCUGCUCGAGGUG
rnacentral:tRNA from 1 species